AAUUAAACAUGAAUAAAUACUCGUAUAUCUUUGAGAAUAUGGCUCAAAAGUUUCUACCGGGCGACCGUAAAUUGCCCGACUACGAGUGAAACAAUCCACCAU
rnacentral:ncRNA from 2 species